rnacentral:lncRNA from 1 species
CAAAAGAAACCUGUAUCUUCGGUUGUACAGGGACGAAAGGGGGACGGAGGAACUUUACUGAGAGAAGUUCAUGGACUUGAGGAAACAAAUAUGAUGAAGACUUCCAGGAGGGAAGGAGAGGCCAUUGUAAUACAAUGUAUGGACGAGUUCUUUGGUUCUCCAGAAAAUUAAGAGUCCAAGCACAGGAGCAAGACAAACCCCAUCAUCAUGGACUUUCUACACCAUCAUGGAGUGCCCACCAGGAAAGAACCACUCCACCAGUCUCCCACUUCUUAUUUCUAGCAGUGGAGGAAAGUUCAGUGUCAAAGCCUCUUCUAGUCAGCCAAAAAAACGAAGAGGAGUACUUAAUUUCUGUUUGCCAGCGUUGUUGUUUAGGAUCUCUGACAUUAGAGACUAAUUGCACAAUGAUCUUCUGAAUUCUCGGACUGGUCCUGACACUUGUCUAAAGAUCUGUUCUGCAAGGUACAGGGGUGUGAACUCUCAGCUUAAAAGCUGAUUUCAGCUUUUAUUGUUUUGGAUUUCAGCUUUUUUCCCCUCACUUGCUGUGUACAAAAGUAUAGCAGAUUUCCAAAGUUCAGCUUUUUACACCCUUUUCAGCUGUUUUCAGCUAUUUUUUAUCAGUUGUCACUCUCACCCCUUAUUGUACUUAAAAUAAAUUUAGGUGCUCAAUGUAUAGUGCUGUUUACACUAGAAAACUAUUGAAACAGGUCCAGGUCAACAUAGCUCAUGUUGCCUAGCCCGGUUGACAUUUAUAAUUACAUCAUAUAAGUGUUUGACUGUUUACAUUUAUAUGCUGGGGUAAAAUUAUAUUUCUAAUGAUUUAAUUGUCAGAAAUAGAAAAUGUUCAGGCCUCUUUUUAAGAAAAGAAUAUUCCCACUGUAUUUGCGAUGUGUGUGAAUUUACUUAAUAUUCUUGUCACUUUUUUUAAGGGAUCACAAUGAUUUCUGUCUUCAUAAGCUACAGCAAAGGAAACAUUUCCAUUUUGAAAUAUAAAUAUUUCAUUAAGUGCCUUUUUAUCUAAACAUUUGGAUUUUUUUUGGGGGGGGGGGGGUGAUUAUACAUGCUGUUACUGUUGAACUGUUAUGUAUGUACAUAACUUGUUUUUAAAUUCUAUUGUACUAUGUAGUUCCUCAAGAUACAUCAAGAUACAUUUUUGUGUUUCGCUGACACAAUGUUUGUGCUGAACGAUUGUUAGUUCUGAUGUCCUGUGCAAUAUGAAUCUUGACUCUUUACAGUUGAACCUUCUGGCCAAAUAAACCAUCAAUAAAAAUACAAGUAUAACAAUUCUUUGCAGAAAAGGGCAGUUUAAUUCUCGAAAGACGGGGAUAGCAUUUUGUUGUAGGGAUAGAUGAUAGAUCAAACCUAAAUCUUUAAGACUUGCCAGUGUUAUUUUCUAAUAUUAUCCCGAAAAAAGUCCUUUUGUAAUGAUUGUUGUUUUUCAAGCAAUAAAAAAUUACUCACUUUUAAAUGAUGAGAGACAUUGACCAAAAAA